UACGGGGGGAGCAAGCGUUGUUCGGAUUUACUGGGCGUAAAGGGCGCGUAGGCGGCCAGCACAAGUCAGUUGUGAAAUCUCCGAGCUUAACUCGGAACGGUCAACUGAUACUGUGCGGCUAGAGUGCGGAAGGGGCAACUGGAAUUCUUGGUGUAGCGGUGAAAUGCGUAGAUAUCAAGAGGAACAUCUGCGGCGAAGGCGGGUUGCUGGGCCGACACUGACGCUGAGGCGCGAAAGCCAGGGGAGCGAACGGG
rnacentral:rRNA from 1 species